GCCCUGGCCGCGCAGCACCUCGCGGAGUCGGGAGGCGGGUGGGAGUGCGCCGGAGAGACGAGCCGCUCGCCACGCGCCGGCUUCGUGCUGGGCGCCCUCGGGGACUCCGGAGGAGACCCCGCCUUCCAGGCCCGCGCCUCCCUUCGGAGCGGCGAGACCCGCGUCCCGUGCCCGCCCUGCCUCAGUUUCCCCAUUUGUAGGGUGCCAGAUCUGGGCCAUGGGCCAGAAGAUGCUAUGUGCUGCCCUCACAGAGCAGGAACUUGAAGUAAGGAAUUGGGAGCCUGCUCAAGAGAAUGGGCUAACCAGGAUGGCCCGACCUGAACCCGCGAGAACACAAGCUCAAGGGAGCACAGACAGCCCGUUGUGUUUAUCGCUGCCUCCCGGGUGCUCAGAACAAUCCCGAUACCUAGGACCAGUCAAUAACUAGGUGUCGAAUGAAUGAACAAGGGGCACGUGGUGUAUUUGGGAGAGGCUCCAAGAGAUCGUCAAGCCCUUCCCACGGCACACCAGGUCACCUAGAAUAGCAAGCAGCCGCGCCCAGAAUAGAG
rnacentral:lncRNA from 1 species